rnacentral:rRNA from 1 species
AGUGAACGCUGGCGGUAGGCCUAACACAUGCAAGUCGAACGGCAGCACAGGAGAGCUUGCUCUCUGGGUGGCGAGUGGCGGACGGGUGAGGAAUACAUCGGAAUCUACUUUUUCGUGGGGGAUAACGUAGGGUAACUUACGCUAAUACCGCAUACGACCUACGGGUGAAAGCAGGGGAUCUUCGGACCUUGCGCGAUUGACUGAGCCGAUGUCGGAUUAGCUAGUUGGCGGGGUAAAGGCCCACCAAGGCGACGAUCCGUAGCUGGUCUGAGAGGAUGAUCAGCCACACUGGAACUGAGACACGGUCCAGACUCCUACGGGAGGCAGCAGUGGGGAAUAUUGGACAAUGGGCGCAAGCCUGAUCCAGCCAUACCGCGUGGGUGAAGAAGGCCUUCGGGUUGUAAAGCCCUUUUGUUGGGAAAGAAAUCCAGCUGGUUAAUACCCGGUUGGGAUGACGGUACCCAAAGAAUAAGCACCGGCUAACUUCGUGCCAGCAGCCGCCGUAA